rnacentral:rRNA from 1 species
GAUGAACGCUGGCGGCGUGCCUAAUACAUGCAAGUCGAGCGAAUGGAUUAAGAGCUUGCUCUUAUGAAGUUAGCGGCGGACGGGUGAGUAACACGUGGGUAACCUGCCCAUAAGACUGGGAUAACUCCGGGAAACCGGGGCUAAUACCGGAUAAUAUUUUGAACUGCAUGGUUCAAAAUUGAAAGGCGGCUUCGGCUGUCACUUAUGGAUGGACCCGCGUCGCACUAGCUAGUUGGUGAGGUAACGGCUCACCAAGGCAACGAUGCGUAGCCGACCUGAGAGGGUGAUAGGCCACACUGGGACUGGAACACGGCCCAGAAUCCUACGGGAGGCAGAAGUAGGGAAUCUUCAGCAAUGGACGAAGGUCUGACGGAGCAACGCCGCGUGAGUGAUGAAGGCUUUCGGGUCGUAAAACUCUGUUGUUAGGGAAGAACAAGUGCUAGUUGAAUAAGCUGGCACCUUGACGGUACCUAACCAGAAAGCCACGGCUAACUACGUGCCAGCCGCCGCCGUAA